CUCCUCUUCCCUCCCUCUCUGCUCCAGCAAGCCCCGCCUACAAACAGACGCUCCUGCUCGCUCGUAUCGUUCCAAUUAAACUCAGAUAUAAUGCAGAUAAAUACUUCAGAUAAUUACAAAUGGGGCCCAGUCAACAUGAAAGUAAAAAGCAUUGGUGCUACUGUAGAUGCCAACAGACUACCAGCAAACACAAUGUUUGCAGGACUUCUACAACUAGGAUAAAGUGACAUAGUCCAGGACCGGAGGUCAACAGUUUAGUGGCGCUACAACACGCAGCAGGUCCCGUUUGACAAGAAACACUUCUGUUACAGACACUUGGCUUACUUUGUUAAAGCGGUUUACCUGUCCAGCAGAAAGGUUACAGGG